UACGGGGGGGGCAAGCGUUGUUCGGAAUUACUGGGCGUAAAGGGCUUGUAGGUGGCCAACUAAGUCAGACGUGAAAUCCCUCGGCUUAACCGGGGAACUGCGUCUGAUACUGGAUGGCUUGAGUUUGGGAGAGGGAUGCGGAAUUCCAGGUGUAGCGGUGAAAUGCGUAGAUAUCUGGAGAACACCGGUGGCGAAGGCGGCAUCCUGGACGGCAUGACGCCUGGAGGCGCGAAAGCCAGGGGAGCGA
rnacentral:rRNA from 1 species